rnacentral:lncRNA from 1 species
UGUCCAGAGGAGGGGGGCCCAACCCAGCAACCCUCUUCUCAAUUUGCAACAUAUAAACCCACGAAAGUAAUCACAAACUUGUUAACCGCUGGGCACCGUAGCCCUGGAGCGCUCUUAACGGACUUUGCAAGGCCCAGUACCCAGAGGCUGCAGCGAGGGGGCGGCGACUGGGCCCCAGGACACCGCCUGUGCAGGGACAGGGACUCUGGGCCUUGGCCUGCGAGGGAACAGGCGCCCUCUGUCGGCCUUGACCUCCGCGGGGACACGGGCCCCCUUUCGGCCUCGGCCUGGGCCUGGACAGAGACGAGGACUUUAGGCCUAGGCCUGCGCGGGGACACGGGCGCUCUCUCGGCCUUGACCUGCGCGGGGACACGAGCCCUCUCUCGGCCUCGGCCUGGGCCUGCACAGGGACGGGGACUUUGGGCCUGGGCCUGCGCGGGGACGAGGACGCUCUCUCGGCCAGGGUCUGCACGGGGACAGGGACCCUCGGCCGGGGUCUGGGCGGCACCUGCUGGGGGCGAGGUGGGGCAGCCUCACACACCGCAGCGCGCAGGGCCUGAGGGCCGUCCUCCCUCCACUUCCCGUCCCCACAUCCGCCCCGGGCCCACCACCUGCCUCCUCCUUGUCCUGGGCCGAGGCGGGUCCGCAAGGGCGGGAGAGAGGUCCCCGCAGCGGUGCAUCCUGGGACACCGCCCCUCAAGCCCGGGGGCGAGGGAUGCCUGGGUGGGGGCCAAGAGAGCGCCCAACAGACCACCAGCUCCUUUCCUGGGUGCCCUUUUCAGAUGUGAGCUCCUGUCCUCAGAAAUUCUUGAAGAUUUCUAAAUCCUUCUGCGGCAUGGCGGCGGCUGUGUCCUAGUCAUUCUCUGGGUAAGUUUCGAAGUUGGAGGUGUCUUCGUCGCGGGCUAUCUUGGGCACAAUGGGAGCCUUCAGUUUUCUCUGCGGAACAGCUUCCCAGUCCACGGAGAGGAACCACCGAUGGCGUUUCACAUCAUUAGCCCUGUUCUUCAUGUUUCCUAACCGCCUUGUUCUGUCAACCACGAGCAGUUUCUUAAUGAGGUCUUUUACACAGAAAUCCAAAUGUCUGGGGAAAUCUAUUUUGCCUGCAAGAAUUUUCUGAUAAAUGCCAAAUGUGUUAUCACAAAAAAAAAAAAAAAAAAAAAAAAAAAAUGGAGGAAACCCUGAGAGCAUCUCAAAUAUCAGGAUGCCGAGGGCCCACCAGUCCACGGCCCUUCCGUGGUCCUCGCUUUGAAUGACUUCGGGGGCCAGGUACUCGGGUGUUCCACAGAGGGUCCAAGUCCUGUCUACCAGCUUCUCGGCGAACCCAAAGUCCAUGAGCUUGAUGUGGCCGUCCCUAUCCAGCAGGAUGUUCUCCCUAUCCAGCAGGAUGUUCUCCGGCUUAAGUUCCUGUAG